rnacentral:rRNA from 1 species
GGGCAAUGGGCGAAAGCCUGACCCAGCAACGCCGCGUGGAGGAUGAAGGCUUUAGGGUUGUAAACUCCUUUUGUGGGGGAAAAGAAUGGAUGGUACCCCAAGAAUAAGUCACGGCUAACUACGUGCCAGCAGCCGCGGUAAUACGUAGGUGACAAGCGUUAUCCGGAAUUACUGGGCGUAAAGCGCACGCAGGCGGUCAGAUAAGUCUGAUGUGAAACCUUCUGGCUUAACCAGAAGACGUCGUUGGAUACUGUUUGACUUGAGGCGAUGAGAGGAAUGCGGAAUCCCCGGUGUAAUGGUGGAAUAUGUAGAUAUCGGGGGGAACAUCUGAGGCGAAAGCGGCAUUCUGGCAUUAGCCUGACGCUCAUGUGCGAAAGCGUGGGGAGCAAACGGGAUUAGAUACCCCGGUAGUCCACGCUGUAAACGAUGAAUACUAGGCGUAGGUGGAGUUAAACCCAUCUGUGCCGAAGCCAACGCAUUAAGUAUUCCGCCUGGGAAUACGGCCGCAAGGCU